rnacentral:lncRNA from 1 species
GGAUUACACGCGUGAGCCCCCACGCCCAGCCAGCCAGUGGUUUUGAUUUGUGUUUCCCUCAUGACUAAUGAGGCUGACCAUCUUCUCACGCGGGGUUAGCCAUCUGUGCGUCUUCUCUGGAGAAAUCUCUGUUCGGAUCCUGUGUGUGUGUUUUUUUUUUUUGAAACAGGGUCUUGCUCUGUGACCCAGCCUGGAGUGCAGUGGUGUGAUCACAGCUCACUGCAGCCUUGACCUCCUCAGCUCAAGUGAUCCUUCCAUCUCAGUCUCCUAAGUAGCUGGAACCACAGACGCACACUACCACGCCCGGCAUGUUCUUUUAUUUUUUAGAGACCAGGGUCUCGCCCUGUUGCCCAGGCUGGUCUCAAACUCCCGGGCUCAAGCGAUUCAUCCACCCUGGCCUCACAAACUGCUGGGAUUCCAGGUGCGAGUGGCCCCUUGCCGAUGUUUAAAUGGGGUCCCUGUCUGUUGCUGAGUCACAGUGUUCCCUGGAUGAUCUGGAUGCAAAGCCGACACUGGAUGGAUGAUCUGCAGGUGCUCUCUGUCUCCACAGUUGCCUCUGCAGCGGGAGCUCGGGUGCUCCAGGUUCCUCUGCCCACAUUCCCAACUGCUGCAGACACAACCAAAGCCUCCCCAACUCCUUCACGGCCCCUGCCGGCGAUCGCAUACAGGAGUGAGUGUGUGAUUUCUUCUUCACAUUUUUGUCCACAAGUUUGGCGAGUUUGCAUUUGUGUCUAAUAAAGAAACUACCGUUUCCCACGCAUGCACGUUCUGAAUGCCUGAGUGCAGGAGCCACGUGGGAUCCAGCUCAGGGACCACAGGAGAGGCCAGCUGGGACAUGCAGGAUGCAAGUCCUCCCCACCACCUCCGCUCGGCUGCCAGGGCUCGGCUCUUCCUAGAAGACACGGGCCUCUCCUAGGCGCUCCCGACAGAGGCCCUACCCCUGCCCCCCAGUCACCUUGCCCUCUGGGGACUCUCUCUGGGCCAGAGAGAGCUUUGAAACCUGGCUUCAGUGUCACCUGCACUGGGGGUCCUUCCAGGCCAGCCCCCUCCCCAUCAUCUAUCUCUAUCCUUGGAGAAUCAUUUGCGUAUUGCUUGAACGCAGGCUCCAGUGAUAACAGAGCCCUCAAGGGCAGCACUCCUUCUGGUAAGGGCUCAUGGAGGCCUUGGUGACAAUCCCUAGUCUUCGCUCUCAGGAUCCAGGGACCAGAAAUAGGAGCAGGGGGCCCUUCCCUGGCCUUGUCAGCCCCCAAGGCAGCCGUGCCGGUGGCAGCUGCACUCUAAGGCAUCAGGCCUAGGGGUCGCUCCAGAAUGCCUAUCUUCCCCGACGCCAAUCCCAGGCAGGGACCCCGGGGGCUGUGCCUCCCACCCCUACACUCCCCGACACUCUCUUGUCUUUCAGGGAUGCAGGUGGGAAAGGGCAAGGCCCUGGGUGCUCCAAUAUUUUACAUCAGUGAACCAAGUACCUACCAAGUCCCUCGUAUGUGCCCAGUCCUGGACCCCAGCAUUCGCGAGACAGCAGCAGACCCAGGUGACCCCCAGCCAGGGUGAGUGGCAUCCAGCACCAGGAAGUUGCCUUUAGAGCAGGCAGCC